rnacentral:lncRNA from 1 species
GUGUUAUUUUUAUCUUUUUUUUUUAAAGAAUCACUUUUUCUAAGUAUGUCGGAGUGAUUGAGCAGAGAGAAAAAUGAAUACCCUAAGCGAACUAGAAAUCUGGAAAGAACCGAAAUAGAGGCAGUGUCUCAUGACACUUUACUUGAGGACUCACCUGAUGAACUGCUGAUCAACUCUAUAGUCUUCUACCUGAAUGCCCCAAGAUAUUGAUGAAGUCAACAAAAACAUUGAGCCUCAGAACACAAGAAAUCUUGGACAAACUGGGAGACAGCUUGUCAGUAUCUAAGAACCAAAGAACAAGUCAGCCAUGCUAUAAGUGCCUUGAAAUCAAGUUCUAAGUGAUCUGUUGCCCUUCUCUUGCCUCUACCUGCUUACAGAGGG